UAUUAACAAGCAGUGUGCACAGCUUAAAUGGGAGUCCAGUGUGGAAAGGCAAGAAAGCCAAAUGCCACAAUGUCCUUUAAUUUCAAAUCUCAGAUGAGCUUAAAUGUUCAGCUUUAAAAGCUGCAGUUGACAGUCAGAGCCAAUGGAGAAGAUGACAACUUCAAGUAUCAGUUCAAAUAAGCCACUUUUUCCCCUUUCUUUCCGCAAAAUGCAAAAAUAAAAAAUUAUGGUUAAACCCCAG
rnacentral:lncRNA from 1 species